AAGUGUUAGAGCUCUUUUAGAAUUCAUCCAGCAGGAUUUUUGGUCCUCACUGCAACAGCCCUU
rnacentral:snRNA from 1 species